CCAGAAUUCAAAUUUGGACAUGAACAUCACAGCUCAGGCCCAUCUCUGAUACAUAUCAAGAUAUAAGUAGAAAAUUCAGCUCAUAAAUUAAUAGGAGCACUGGAGUCAGGGUGGAAAGUAGCCAAACGAGCAAAUGCUUCCAAAAUCGAAGAAGUCAGUUUUCUACAUUUUAUGAGCAGCAUGAAGGUCUCUGCUCCUUGGUUGUGUUGAACCAGUGCAAUCACUUAAAAAAUGCUAUUGCCAGCGAAAGGGAAGGAUGCUGUGAGGCCGGGCUUGCCCCAUGUAGCUGGGAGGUGUCACAAUGUUUUCCUAAGCGAAGAAGACCAACAGAAAGACAAACCAGUGUGCCUGGAGAAAGGAUGGUCUUGUGGUUAAGACCUGAGACUUGAAGUGACCUUGACUAAUGCAGCCGGAUCACCGCCUCACG